ensembl:lncRNA
GAAGACUUGGCGCGAAGAGGAAGGGAGGUGGAGCUCCAGCCAGGAGCCCGUUCGUCUGUCUGCUCUAUGGGGCUGGCUCAGUUCGCUGCGGAGAAAGGCAUGUGCUUCCCUCGUACUUUGGUGACAUGUGUCAUGGAACUUAAUGUUACCGCAAAAGACACUGCAUGAAAACAAACCAAGCAAGCAAACAAACAAAGAAGAAGUGGAUACUCCGCAGUCUAAGAAAAUCUGAUAUAGAAGGGGGCUUCACACAGGACCAAACUAUCCCAGAAGAUACCUGUGGAGAAUGCAAAUAAAUAUUUCCCUGGUCACAACUGGAUGAGCUGACUGAGAUACUCUUCAUCUUACGGUAUGACAGCUGUGCAUGGCCAUCUGGAAAGUGACUUGUCUUUCACAUUGCUGUUCCCACUGCUGAAACACCCUCCACCGCACUGUGCUCACAUCCACUGUUUGGACCGCAUAAAUGUUCAGCAAGUGUUGAUGAACAUCAAUGGGUGCAAGUUUUUCUGCAUGAAGGAAUUAAAUGAUACACCCUUGCUUCAAUGAUACACCUUGCUUCAUAAAGCCUAAUUACCUAGCUCAUCUCCUGGAAAUAUAAUGAAACCCACACAAUUGGUAAAGCAUUCUGAAACAGGGUAGAGUCAUAUAUUUUGGCAGUCCUGAGGAAAAUAUGGAAAUUAUGGAAAUUUUUGGUAAAUUAUGGAUUUAGCUAAGCACCCCUAUCUCUUCAGUGGAUUGGUGAGACGUCUUACUACCAGUUAAUAUCUUUCAGGAAGGUUGUUUCCCUGUCAAACCUCAUCCAGAAUAUAAACAGAAAUAAACAGAUCGGUGACAAACCAACUCUCUGAACAUCUUAAAGAGUGAUAUCCCCAAUUGCUUCAUUCAAUUUGAUGGCUCUUUUCUAAUUUUACCUUUUGAGAAGAUAAAAUACUAAACUUCCCAAAGUUUAAUUUCUUUCAGUCCUUCAGAUAUUAAGGCUUAAAUAAGGGGAUAUAACACUAAAAUUAAGUAAAGGCUGUCAUUAAUUAUUACCAGUUGUUACAGUAAUUGACUUUGGCUAUAUACAGAUCAAAUAAACGAGAGCGUAUGUUUAAUGAACAGACAAUACGUUACAGGACUGUUUGCUUUAAUUUAUCAUCAAUCAUACAGAAUGUUUUAAUAACAAGUUUAUUUUAGCAUUAUUCAAGUCCAAAAUUCUUCACUCAAGCAUUUUUUUUCUUCCCUGGUGGCUCCAUCUGAUGAUUAGAAAAAUAUAGCAAAGUACCAUGGCAAUACUUGCAGUGCAUUAAGACAUACUGAAUAAAGUUUUCAGACUGCUCAGGCCUAUCAAAGAUAGAAAAAUAAAAAUAAAAAAUAAAAAGCACAACAGUGUCAGACAAACAUUUCAAAGCUAUUAUUUUUGGUGAAUUCAUACAGUUUUAGUAUAUUUUAUAUUAAAAUAUUUAUAAGAGACCACAAAAACAGUCUUUUCGUAAUAAAGGCAAUGUACUAUUUUGUGGACUCAACACAUUUCACAGUUUGAAAUAAAUUUCAAGCACUCUCUAAGUAUGACCUGGCAAUUUGGAUGUCUAAAUUUCAUUGCUCAGCAUCUAGCUCCUGAUGUGAAUGAUCAAUGUCACUAAGAGGCAAGUAAUACUCAUGAGGACUAACUUUGAGGCACAAGGGGUUAAUUUCCCUAGACUUCCUUUCCAGUCAGAUGAAAAAAAAAAAGACUCUUACAGGAAAAUUCAGAGAACAGAAC